CACCCCCGAUGAAGAAACUUUGGAUAAGCUGUACACCCAAGUGCUUGUCUCAGAAAAUGAAAAACAGCCUCUGGGCAAUGUGAGCGUGACCAAAGAGGCAGUGGCUGAGGCUGUGAGCUUCCUUGCAUCGGACGCUGCCAGAUUCCUCACAGGUCUGUGUAUGCCGGUGGAUGGUGGCAGAUCUUUCACGGGGACAUAAUUUGGGAAGUAGUCCUAGUGCUGGGGAAUCUACCUAUACAGUCACGUCCGGACUUUGGACACAGAUAGCCCGAGACAGAGUGUUUUACACAACAUUUACAAAGACCAAGAGUUGAUGGAAUUACAAUUAAACAGAAAAUUUGAAUGACUUUAAUUUUU